GACGAACGCUGGCGGCGUGCUUAACACAUGCAAGUCGAGCGGAGCGGCGAACGGGUGAGUAACGCGUGAGUAACUGCCCCCCUCUCUGGGAUAACAGUUGGAAACGGCUGCUAAUACCGGAUAGUGGGGGAUGAAUCGCGUCCUAUGGGCUUGUCGGGGGGGGAGUGGCCUACCAAGGCGAGGACGGGUAGCCGGCCUGAGAGGGGGACCGGCCACAAUGGGCUGAGAUACGGCCCAAACUCCGACGGGGUGCAGCAGUGGGGAGUAUGGCACAGUCGUGCAGACUCUGAUGAAGAAGCGCCGCGUGUGGAAUGUAGGCCUUCGGGUUGUGAACCGCUUUCAGCCAUGACGCGGUAGUGGCAGAAGAAGCACCGGCUAACUACGUGCCAGCAGCCGCGGUAAUUC
rnacentral:rRNA from 1 species